rnacentral:rRNA from 1 species
GAUGAACGCUGGGGGCAUGCUUAAAACAUGCAAGUCGGACGGGAAGUGGUGUUUCGAGUGGCGGACGGGGGAGUAACGCGUAAGAACCUGCGCUUGGGAGGGGAACAACAGGGGGAAACGGCUGCUAAUACCCCGUAGGGUGAGGAGGAAAAGGAGGAAACCGCCCGAGGAGGGGCUUGCGUCUGAUUAGCUAGUUGGUGAGGCAAUAGCUUACCAAGGCGAUGAUCAGUAGCUGGUCCGAGAGGAUGAUCAGCCACACUGGGACUGAGACACGGCCCAGACUCCUACGGCAGGCAGCAGUGGCGAAUUUUCCGGAAGGGGCGAAAUCCCGACGGAGCGAUGCCGCGUGCAGGUAGAAGGCACACGGGUCGUGAACUGCUUUUCCCGGAGAAGAAGCAAUGACGGUCUCUGCGGAAUAGCCAUCGGCUAACUCUGUG